rnacentral:rRNA from 1 species
GAUGAACGCUGGCGGCGUGCCUAAUACAUGCAAGUCGAGCGAACAGACGAGGAGCUUGCUCCUCUGACGUUAGCGGCGGACGGGUGAGUAACACGUGGAUAACCUACCUAUAAGACUGGGAUAACUUCGGGAAACCGGAGCUAAUACCGGAUAAUAUAUUGAACCGCAUGGUUCAAUAGUGAAAGACGGUUUUGCUGUCACUUAUAGAUGGAUCCGCGCCGCAUUAGCUAGUUGGUAAGGUAACGGCUUACCAAGGCAACGAUGCGGAGCCGACCUGAGAGGGUGAUCGGCGACACUGGAACUGAGACACGGUCCAGACUCCUACGGGAGGCCGCAGUAGGGAAUCUUCCGCAAUGGGCGAAAGCUUGACGGAGCAACGCCGCGUGAGUGAUGAAGGUCUUCGGAUCGUAAAACUCUUUUAUUAGGGAAGAACAAAUGUGUAAGUAACUAUGCACGUCGUGACGGUACCUAAUCAGAAAGCCCCGGCUAACUACGUG